AUGGCCUCAGGGGGCCGCAUGCGGCCCACGGGCCAUGGAACAGUACAUCAGUAAAAGGAAAGUGAUGACAUUUACAUCAUAAAUCUGAAGAGGACCUGGGAGAAGCUUCUGCUGGCAGCUCGUGCCAUUGUUGCUAUUUAAAACUCUGCUGAUGUCAGUGUUAUAUCCUCCAGGCAUACUGGCCAGAGGGCUGUGCUGAAGUUUGAUGCUCCACUGGAGCCACUCUAAUUGCUGCCUAUUCACUCCUGGAAACUUCACUAACCAGAUCCAAGCAGCCCUCCGGGACUCACGGCUUCUGGUGGUUACUGACCCCAGGACUGACCACCAGCCUCUCAUGGAGGCAUCUUAUGUUAACCUGCCUACCAUUGCUCUGGCUAACACAGAUUCUCCUCUGCACUAUGUGGACAUUGCCAUCCCAUGCCACAACAAAGGAGCUCACUCGGUGGGUUUGAUGUGGUGGAUGCUGGCUCAGGAAGUUCUAUGCAUGCGUGGCACCGUUUCUCGUGAACCCCUGUGGGAGAUCAUGCCUGAUAUCUGCUUCUACAGAGAUCCUGAAGAGAUUGAAAAGAAAAGCAGGCUGCGGCUGAAAAGGCUGUGACCAAGGAGGAAUUUCAGGGCGAAUGGACUGCUCCAGCCCCUGAGUUUACUGCUACUCAGCCUGAGGUUGCAGACUGGUCUGAUGGUGUGCAGGUGCCCUCUCUGCCUAUCCAGGGGUUCCCUACUGAAGACUGGAGUGCUCAGCCUGCCACAGAAGACUGGUCUGCAGCUCCCACUGCUCAGGCCACUGAAUGGGUAAGAGCAACCACUGAAUGGUCUUAAGCUGUUCUUGCGUGGGCCUUAAGCAACAUGGAAUUAAGGUUGAUGGAAAAUAAACAUCAGUUUCUUAAAAAAA